rnacentral:tRNA from 1 species
GCCUGGAUGGCUCAAUUGGUAGAGCAUGUGACUCUUGAUCUCAGGGUCAUGAGUUCAAGCCCCACACUGGGUG